GGGAGAGUGGCCGAGUGGUUAAAAGCGACAGACUGUAAAUCUGCUGAAGGUUUUCUACGUAGGUUCGAAUCCUGCCCCUCCCA
rnacentral:tRNA from 1 species